GGGUCAGUAGGUUGGUCGUGCCACCGGUACGUACUGGUCUCACUGAUACCUCCUUCCUGAAGAACCGUAAUGCCAUUAAUUUGGUGUUGCGGGGAAACAGGACUGUUACUUUGAAAAAAUUAGAGUGUUUAAAGCAAGCUAACGCUUGAAUACAUUAGCAUGGAAUAAUGAACUAGGACGAUCGAUCCUAUUUUGUUGGUUUCUAGGAUUGACGUA
rnacentral:rRNA from 1 species